rnacentral:lncRNA from 1 species
UGCUCCAAAUAUUUCUUUAGUCCAACCAAAAUACAAUUAUCUAAGGUGUUUCUUAAGAAAAUAACACAAAAUAUGAGAUGAGUACUAAUGACACUAAAAUAUUCAAUAAAAAAUAAUAAUGAAAUCAUCAUAUAAAAUAAAUAUUGCAAAGUCAUAAUGAAAAUGAUCAUAAUUUAAAAGUACUAAAUCAUGCUAAAAUAAGUUUAAUAAGUAUUAGUUACAUUACUAAAUAUUUAAGGAAAA